UACCACUCCUACUCCCAUGACUAGGAAGGGUAAAGGGGUGAUGACAAUACCAACACCGGUUAAGCUCAAAGAAACAAUCAGAAAGUACAUCCCUACUUAUGAAGGUUCUGAUUCAGAUGGUUCUGUGGGUAGCGCUCCAGGUGAAAGACAAGAAACUACUAAGGGGAACGUCGACUACAUGGCCAUGCAUUAGCGGCAGAAGAUUUCGUGAAUUAUUGAAUAAAACCGGAAGCUUUAUGAACUCCUUUAAGUUUUUUUCCUGUAAUGUAUGUUUUUAGACUUGGCAUACAUGUUUGUUCUUAAACAGAUUACGCAACAAAGUUUCCUGUGCUAUGC